rnacentral:rRNA from 1 species
GACGAACGCUGGCGGCGUGCUUAACACAUGCAAGUCGAACGGAAUGGCCAACGAGUGAGUAACAAGUGGGUGAACUGCCCUGCACUUAGGGAUAAGCCUGGGAAACUGGGUCUAAUACCGGAUAGUGUGGGAUGGGCCCGCGGCAUAUCAGCUUGUUGGGGGGGUAAUGGCCUACCAAGGCGGCGACGGGUAGCCGGCCUGAGCGGGUGGACGGCCACCUUGGGACUGAGACACGGCCCAGACUCCUACUGGAGGCAGCAGUGGGGAAUAUUGCACAAUGGGCGGAAGCCUGAUGCAGCGACGCCGCGUGGGGGAUGACGGCCUUCGGGUUGUAAACUCCUUUCACCAUCGACGCGGUAGAUGGAGAAGAAGCACCGGCUAACUACGUGCCAGCAGCCGCGGUAAUAC